ACAGUGCUACUGGCCCAUAAUCAGGCAACUGCAGAGUCUUAGGGGGUUAUCUAAUGUAGUCUUGGGGUGGCUGGAUAGACUUCCCAAAGAAGGUGAUGCCGAAGCUGAGGUCGGAAAUUACGAAGAUCAGCUAUGCCUUUUAAAGGACCAUGGGCUGUUUGAGGGGCCAACAUCAUUAACUGGAAGGCCUGAGGAGAGAAGACACAUAGUCAUGCUGACUAAACCAGAUCACCUAGAAUUACCAAAUGGAAAGAUUGUGCCUGCAGCCUGGCCUGUUGCCCACAGCGGUCUACCUGCCACACUGGGAAAGAUCGAGCAGAGACAGAGAAGAAAAGGAGGCUCCAUUUUUCAGGCUGCUCUCCCGCAGGCUCAUGUUUUGUGUUCAUGCCAGGCAGAGAACACAAAAUGUUCCAAUAAAUAAGUAUCAAAGAUGUACCCAUAGGGUCAAGCUCCAGCACAGAGACCCAUCCUGGGAUGCAGGACUUGGUGCCAGGGAAGUCCCAGAUUUCAAAACCAAGAUCAAGGCAUGGAAAGUGAGACUAACUACAUCAGGCCAGAAAUGAAAAGCAACUUAGGAGUCAAUUUUAGAAACAUCAUCAGUGGUGUAGAAGAGCUCAGGGAAGCAAGGAGGGCUGCUGUGAAUGACACCAUGAAUUUCUGAAUGUGAUGUCCCUUCAAUUCAUGAGGUCAGUUCUUUCUAUUUAAUAUACUUCUGGAAGUAUCAAAUUAGUAAAAAAAAAUUUUCCCAUUUUUCCUGUCACAAAUAUUUGGCCAGGAAAAAAAAAGAUUUAAUCACAGACCAGCCAAAGUCAAAUUCAUAAAUAAUGUUAUUUAAAAGGCGAGCGACCCCUAUUCCACUCAAAUGGCAAAUCUUUGCAUUAUUCCUAUUUGAGUUGAUCUUGUCUGAAUUUUUAAUUUUCCUCUGUGUAAGGGAGAAAAUCUUUUCUUAAAAACCUGUCUUGCUUAAAAGGCAACAUUCUGAUUCCUUUGAGAAUCCAUACUGUGUGGUAUUAUGAUGUUUUGAAAGACAGACUCAAAUAAUAUGUCAACUGACUUCCCUUACUUAUCCUGCUAAUGGUUAUUAGGCAUGCUUUGUAAAUAAAUUUGUAGUUCUCAUGUGAAAAUACUAGAAGAAGAAGAUAGGGAAUUCAGGUUUCAACUUCAAGAUGAUAAUUCUAGGAAAAAAAAAAAA
ensembl:lncRNA CCDC26 CCDC26 long non-coding RNA